AGAGUUUGAUCCUGGCUCAGAACGAACGCUGGCGGCAGGCUUAACACAUGCAAGUCGAACGAUGUAGCAAUACAUAGUGGCGCACGGGUGAGUAACGCGUGGGAACGUGCCUUUUGGUUCAGAAUAACACCGGGAAACUGGUGCUAAUACUGGAUACGCCCUUCGGGGGAAAGAUUUAUCGCCAAAAGAUCGGCCCGCGUAAGAUUAGGUAGUUGGUGGGGUAAUGGCCUACCAAGCCUACGAUCUUUAGCUGGUCUGAGAGGAUGACCAGCCACACUGGAACUGAGACACGGUCCAGACUCCUACGGGAGGCAGCAGUGGGGAAUAUUGGACAAUGGGGGAAACCCUGAUCCAGCCAUGCCGCGUGAAUGAUGAAGGCCUUAGGGUUGUAAGUUCUUUUAUCCGGGAAGAUGAUGACGGUACCGGAAGAAUAAGCUCCGGCUAACUUCGUGCCAGCAGCCGCGGUAAUACGAAGGGAGCUAGCGUUGUUCGGAAUUACUGGGCGUAAAGCGCGCGUAGGCGGCGAUACAAGUCAGGGGUGAAAUCCCACAGCUCAACUGUGGAACUGCCUUUGAAACUGUAUUGCUAGAGCGUUGGAGGGGAUAGCGGAAUUGCUAAUGUAGCGGUGAAAUGCGUAGAUAUUAGCAGGAACACCGGUGGCGAAGGCGGCUAUCUGGACAACAACUGACGCUGAGGCGCGAAAGCGUGGGGAUCAAACAGGAUUAGAUACCCUGGUAGUCCACGCUGUAAACGAUGAGUGCUAGCCGUUGGGACCUUCGGUCUCGGUGGCGCAGCUAACGCGUUAAGCACUCCGCCUGGGGAGUACGGUCGCAAGAUUAAAACUCAAAGGAAUUGACGGGGACCCGCACAAGCGGUGGAACAUGUGGCUUAAUUCGAGGCAACGCGAAGAACCUUACCAGGCCUUGACUCGCCCUCUAUGGAUUCUUGAAAGAGAGUCCUUCACUUCGGGUGGGAGGAGCACAGGUGCUGCAUGGCUGUCGUCAGCUCGUGUCGUGAGAUGUUGGGUUAAGUCCCGCAACGAGCGCAACCCUCAUCCCUUGUUGCUAUCAGGUUAGGCUGAGAACUCUAGGGAAACUGCCGGUGAUAAGCCGGAGGAAGGCGGGGAUGACGUCAAGUCCUCAUGGCCCUUACGGCCUGGGCUACACACGUGUUACAAUGGCGGUGACAAUGCGCUGCUAACUCGCGAGAGUAAGCUAAUCGCAAAAAGCCGUCUCAGUUCGGAUUGUACUCUGCAACUCGAGUACAUGAAGUUGGAAUCGCUAGUAAUCGUGGAUCAGCACGCCACGGUGAAUAC
rnacentral:rRNA from 1 species